CCUACGGGAGGCAGCAGUGGGGAAUAUUGGGCAAUGGGCGCAAGCCUGACCCAGCAACGCCGCGUGAAGGAAGAAGGCUUUCGGGUUGUAAACUUCUUUUAUGAGGGACGAAAGAAAUGACGGUACCUCAUGACUAAGCCACGGCUAACUACGUGCCAGCAGCCGCGGUAAUACGUAGGUGGCAAGCGUUAUCCGGAUUUACUGGGUGUAAAGGGCGUGUAGGCGGGACUGCAAGUCAGAUGUGAAAGGCAGUGGCUCAACCAUUGUAUGCAUUGGAAACUGGUAGACUUGAGUGCAGGAGAGGAGAGUGGAAUUCCUAGUGUAGCGGUGAAAUGCGUAGAUAUUAGGAGGAACACCAGUGGCGAAGGCGGCCUGCUGGGCUUUGACUGACGCUGAGGCUCGAAAGUGUGGGGAGCAAACAGGAUUAGAUACCCCAGUAGUC
rnacentral:rRNA from 1 species